UACAGAGGUCCCGAGCGUUACUGAGAAUCACUGGGUUUAAAGGGUGCGUAGGUGGUCCGUUAAGUCAGUUGUGAAAUCCCCGGGCUCAACUCGGGAACUGCUUCUGAUACUGGCGGACUUGAGGCCAGUAGGGGUCACUAGAACUGACGGUGGAGCGGUGAAAUGCGUAGAUAUCGUCAGGAAUGCCGGUGGUGAAGACGGGUGACUGGGCUGGUUCUGACACUGAGGCACGAAAGCGUGGGGAGCAAACAGG
rnacentral:rRNA from 1 species